rnacentral:piRNA from 1 species
UCUUGAGUCAGCAAUAUUACAAUACCAGAAU